AUGACUUCGGCCGGGACCAUUCAGGCUCAAAUCUCGGUAAUCUACACAGUACAGGCAAUCUUCCCAAGCCCUUGGGCCUUCUGGACAGAAGCGGUAGACGGCGACAACUUGUUCGUCGUAGGAUGAGCAGGAGCCCGUUGCGUGAGCGUCGAGUGUGCUUCUCUUUGGGCUUGACCGCAGAAUCAAGAGUAGCCUUGACCUACAGCUCUGCAGCUCUCUGCUACCACACAGUAAUUCCUAGCUGCUCCACCAUAGCUUCACCUCUGCAGGCCUCGUCAGGCUCAUUGUCCAGACUGUGAAGCUGCUGGGGCCCCAGGGCUUGUCUCGACAUCCCCAUGUUACCGGAAUACUCCCGUCUGCCGCUGAGGUGUCCGUGCCCAAUCCCAGCUCAGUCUGGACCAAUGCUCGGCCAGACAGCCAGACGCACAAUCACCGUAAUAAACACAGUGCGCCCGCUCACAGCUCGCUGAGGAUCGGACGAACUUGGGUGGGUGCUCAUCUGAAAUUCCCCAUUUCCAGUCGCUCGGACGAGGACGGGAACCCGGGCCUGUGGAACUGGAGCGACACAGUCGUCGUAAACAUCGGAGCCAUGAUGCCAACCACGACGAGAAAAGAACGCACGCAUUGGAUGGGAGCCGAGCCUCUCAACGGGCUCUAUGGCCUCCGUGACUUCUCGUUGCUCAAGCUUGGUCCUCACUCCGAGACACCCAGAGCAAGGACACAGCGAACCAGGCCCUCAGCACC